AUGGCGGAGAAGAACAGUAAGAAGGCGGUGCGCAUGGCGCAGCAGGAGCUGGAGGACCUCUACCUCGCCGUCCCCGACGGCUCCGUCGACCUCACCUUCCGAGACUUCGUCGUCGCCCCGCCACCUCUACCUGCGCCCACCGCCUCCUCCGUAGCGCCUGCUCCCACCUUGGCCCCCAUCCACGAGCUGGAGCAACCAGAUGAAGACGAUCCCACCGAGCGCAGCAACAAGGCACUGCUCAGCAGGACCUCCACCAAUAUCUUCACCUACAAGAUCGAGUCCGCCUCCUCUUCCGACGACGACGGCCAGAGCCAGACUGUGAAGCAGCAAGACGCCGCCACAGCAGGCUUCCAGCUCUCCCCAUCCCCUCCUCCAGCCGGCCGCACCACCACCACCAGAAGCAGCACAGCAGCAGCCGGACAGCAGCACCCUCCUCCCGCCCACGCCCACGCCCACGCCGGCAGCGGCAGAAGCCGGCAGAUGCGCCGGGCCGGCAUCCCGCACUCCAACCUCUGCGCCACGUGCAGCCGCUACAUGCACGUCUUCCGCCACCGCUGCCUCGUCUGCGGCCGCGCCUACUGCCGCCGCUGCGUGGGCGCCGGCAUGGGCGACAUGACCGAGGGCCGCAAGUGCCUCGGCUGCCUCGGCCGCAAGUACAGCCACCGCUACAUCCACCGCGCCGGCCGGGGCGCCACCGCCGCCGCGGGCCUCCUCUGCCUCUGCUGCUGCGCGCUCCACGCCUGGGGCUCUUCCUCCUCCGUCAGGGCCGAGGAGCUGCUCUGGGCCGAGAAGGGCCCCGCGCCGCGCCGCCGGCCCUCCACGUCUUCUUCCACCACCUCCAUCUCCGCGUCCUACAGCACGGCCGCGGGUGGCGGCGGGGGAUACUCGGCGUCCAUGAGCAUGACCAUGAUGAGCAUCAACAGCGGCGCCAGCAACAGCAACGGGCACGGCCACAGGAACAGCAACGUCGUCGUCGUCGCGCCACCGCCUGCAUCCUUCUCCCGCACCGCCAACCCGCACGCCUUCCCUCUCUAA
rnacentral:rRNA from 1 species